rnacentral:lncRNA from 1 species
CAAAAGUCUGCAUUAUCAAACGCUUCAGGUUUUGAGGGGGAGGGUCUUUAUGCGUCCACCCCUCCUUCUGGCCCUUUGUGGGACUUCUGGCUUUGGCGCAGCCCCUGUAAAUGUAGACCGAAGAAUUUCUUACCAAAGCAGCGUGGGUUUCACCCCUAACUCGGGGUGUUCCCUGCAAAAGAACCACUUAGCCGCAAAAUAAUAAUCCGCUCCCUUUUCCACCCACCAGGGCUCUUUGAGUCUCCGGUGCCAGGAGCGAGAACUCCUAUCGGAGAAGUGAUGGGACUUUUGUCGUCCGGAGGGAAACACUGGGGGCGACAGCAGAAUCGGGGGCUAGGGGUUGCUCCCCAGCCGACCAGCACCAGUGUGCUGCACUUCCUGGUGUGUCCCAAAGUGCGCAGAUUCUGCCAGCGUCCCCUGCAGCUCUCAGCUCCGGCGCCUCAACUGUCCAGCUGUUCACUGCGUGCUCGCACCUGCAGGAUCCCCUCCUUCACCGACGCCAGCUCCCCCAAUCCUGGACUGCCCCAGCCCUCACCCCUCAGCUAGUCCACUUUCCUUCUGCCAGCGUGGCAGCCCCGAUUCCAUCCCCUUUCUUGGGGUGCGGGGCGCUGGGGCCCCAAAAGAGAGACCGCCGGCGGGAGCGCCGCGGGUGCACCCGGGAAGGGAAGACACUGACGCCUGCACAACUUCUUUCUGGUCUCGGGGACCCCCAGUUCCGCUCGCUGUGCAACCCGCAGGCUGCUGACCCAGGCGGCGGUAGGAGGUGCUGCGGCUAGAGCCCAGCUUGGGAGGGACUGAGCCAGGGCAAAGGGUGUUUGGGUGCGCCAGGGCGGUACCGCUUUAAAUGCACUUGACUCACCUGCUCCGGCGCGGUCGCCUCCUUCUCCUGCUGACAGCUGGGGGCUUUGUUUUCUCCACCCACUCGGCCGGGCGCGCUCCGCCCCAACCGCCGCACGUGACUAGCCGUCUGCCACCACCGCGGCCAGGCUAGUCCACUUGAGAGUCCAGCCAGCGCCCCCUGCCCCCCUCCCUGGGGCGUGGGUGCAGGUGGAGACCCCAGCUGGGGAAGGACCCGCAGGUCCAAGAUGACUCGCUGCAAAGUGCUGGUUCAGGCCCUAGGAAGCCAGAUUGAACUGGUGACAGGGAAGAAAGUGUCAGUGGUGAAAAGAACUGGGCUGAUCUUGAGCCAGGAGGCCGGCGUGGCUUGCCGAGAGGGCUUGCGAAGGCUGUGCCAUACCGGGGUCCACACACCAAACGGAGUGCAGCUGCUCUUUACACCAACUGUUUGCGCUUGUAUCUGGGGCAGAACUGAUAAUGAGGGGCAAACUGCUAUAUCGUGAACAUCAUUAAUUAAACUAAGCAAUUCUAAGCUAAA